rnacentral:lncRNA from 1 species
AACUAUGAUAAAAUGUUUAGUCAACUAAAUGAACAGUAUGAAGUGCAAACCUCCAUCAAGCUCUGAACCUCCUCUUCACAGAUAUGAUCAGUUAUCAAUGAUCAAUGAUCCUGAUCAUGGUACCAUGAUCAUUAACACUUUAAAGGCUUGGAACCACAUUUAUAUCUCAUUAAUAAACAUCCAGUAGGUCACAAUGUAUGGACACACUUUAAAAAAAAAGAAAAUAAAUCAAUGAAAUGCGUAAUCUGGAUCUGAUCAGGAUGAAACUCAGUGGGAUCAUUGAUUAACCACCCAAUAUAACUGAGUCACAUUUUAUACAGAUCCAUCAAUUACAAACCCAGAUAUGAAUUAUUAUGAUGAUGAGAGAUAGACAUUUUUUAUCUUUGAAACUGAUCAGAAUCAGUUCAUUGAUCAGGAGUCCCUCUGGCAGCAGAAAUCUUUCCUCCUUGGUGGAGGUAAUAAAGCAGAUGAAGUGUACGGCAGAGGUUUGAAACUUGUCAAUAAUGUGAUGAUUAUUAUUAUUAUUAAUAAAUUAAUGUCUUUCUCCCACAGACUGAGUUUCUGUGGUCUCUCAGAGAGAAGCUGUGCAGCUCUGUCCUCAGUCCUCAGCUCUCAGUCCUCCAGUGUGAAACAUCUGGACCUGAGUAACAAUUAUCUGCAGGAUUCAGGAGUGAAGUUGCUGUGUGAAGGACUGAAGAGUCCUCACUGUAAACUGGACUCUCUCAGAUGAAGGUCAAUCAGCAGCAGCAUUCAGCUGAGAUCAACUGUGCACCACGUGGAGGAGAGAUUAAAAUAUCAUCAGAUAAAACACAACCAGACAUUCACCAUU